AUGAGCAUUUCAGUCAGGUGUGACCAUUUAUCUGCACAAAGCUCGUUAUUUCUGCCCCCACGUCGGACACGCUCCCGGAGCGGCCACCCCCCGGGCCAGCCUCACCCGGUCCCGCAUCUACCGGCGAUCCGGGGCCGCGGCGGGGCGCAGCGGAAGGGCCCUCAGGCGGGAGAGCCGCCAGCGCAGCGCUGCCCCACCGGGCGGCGGCCCCGCCAGGCAGGGGCGAGGAGCCCUGCACGGGCCCAGCUCCCCAUGGAGGAGUCGGGCCGCCCAGUCCCUGCUGCUGCCCACGCAGCCCUCAGCAGGGAGGAAGGACCGAGCAACCUGUCCACACACCAGGCAGGGAGGAGAGGCCAGAGACCGAGCCUUAGCCGACGGAGCUUAAAUACCAGCGGGCAGUUACCGCGAGAUCUCGCGCCCCCAUCCCCGCACGCUAGUUCUCGCUCUAGUGUCUCCACGCGUUGGGGGCGGGGCAACCUCUAGGGGAAUGGCGCGGGGCGACUCCAUGUCCGCGAGUGCGCAACUAUUGUUGGCGAAGAGGCACGUGACCUCAGCCAACCGGCGGGGGCUGAUGGGGGCCACCGAGUGUUCUGCUCCCUCUCCCCGCCCCUCGGUUGCCAGGCUGCUGAGAGCGGGGGGCUGGGCUAGGCCGGUCGCUGCUGCUGCCCGGGGCUGGCUGCAGCCAGGGGCCGGGCCUGGCCUCGGCCGUGCCAGAUCAUCAAUGGCGCCGCCAUUAUGGCCUUUCACCUUGAUUUGAAUCCAGCUGCAUAGUACUGAAGAAGGUGAUGUUGGUCAACAGAAGAAAGUAUUUUGAUGAGUCUGCAGCCAUGGUGCAGUCUCUUGUGAUUGAAGUUUUCCCAUCCACAAUUGGUCAGUUUAGUCCGUGGUCAGGUGUACUGGUGGAUUUGCUAAAGCUGAGCUCUCAUGUUGCAACAGCCACAAGUAACACUUUCUACCCUCUCCAGUUAGCUAGGAGACUCCACCUCAUCCUGGCGGACAAGGAUCUGGUCUCAGUUAUUCAUGCUGUCACUUCUCAGCUGGACUACCACAAUGCUAUAGAUGUGGGCACAAAACCUU
rnacentral:lncRNA from 1 species